rnacentral:rRNA from 1 species
UACAGAGGGGGCAAGCGUUGUUCGGAAUUACUGGGCGUAAAGGGCGCGUAGGCGGCCUGCUAAGUCGAACGUGAAAUCCCUGGGCUCAACCCAGGAACUGCGUCCGAUACUGGUUGGCUUGAAUCCGGGAGAGGGAUGUGGAAUUCCAGGUGUAGCGGUGAAAUGCGUAGAUAUCUGGAGGAACACCGGUGGCGAAGGCGGCAUCCUGGACCGGCAUUGACGCUGAGGCGCGAAAGCCAGGGGAGCAAAGCGGG